rnacentral:lncRNA from 12 species
GGAGGCCUCUCUGCCUGUCUCUGGAAACCUCAGCCAAGCUCCCAGAGCGCAAGUGCGUCUGCUGGUACCUCCCCACCUCCCCACCUCGCUGUGGAUUUGUCAUGGAAUGAGAAUGACUCUGGCAGAAGUGCAGAGGCAAGAACUCCGUGCGGCUUACACACAGGAAGCCAUGGGGAGCUCGGACAUCAGUGGGAGUCAGGCGAAUUCCCAAGAGUCCUGGCCCGGCAGGAAAACGACAGAUGUUUGGAGCACAUUUUUCGGUGGUUUCGCUCUUUCCCGAGGAGGAGAGCCACAGCUACGUGCCCCUGUAACCAAGCUGGGCUGAACCACAUCCACAAGUCCUGUGGGCAUAGAGACUGGGAACACUUGGACCUCCUUCAGGACAGGCCCGAAGGCGCUAGAGGGCCGCAAGAGGAAAGACAACUGCCUCAAAGCACAGAUGAGCUCAUCGACUCACCUGGGCAGGUAAGUGCAGAACCUGGACAGUGCUUUAGUGGGAGUGCAUCGUGUUUGGAGGAAAUGAUGUCACGGUGUGCUAGGCGGGGUAGGGGGGACAGGAACACCUUUAAAGGGCUCAUCUUUCCCACAGCCUGUUCAGCAUUCGCUCUGCCCCUGGCACAUCCAGAAGCCCCUGCACAAUGUGGGUACGAUGUGUUGAUGUCAACAGUUUUGCUGGAACCCACAGAUCCAUAAAGCUGCUAACAAGAACACGGAACAAGGUGUUAACGUGGGCGGUGGGUGGAGGUUUAGGACAGUAAGUGUCCUGAGAGAGGGGCGAGAACAGGAAGUCUCAGAGAGCCUCCCUGAGGAGCAGCCUUUGAGAGGGGCUUAGAUCACUCAUAGCCCCAAGUCGCACUUGGCCCAGUUCAAUUAUUAAAGCAUAACAUAGGGGCGCCUGGGUGGCUCAGUCAACUAAGCGGUUGCCUUCGGCUCGGGUCACAAUCCUGAGGUCCUGGGAUCGAGCCCCACAUUGGGCCCCCGGCUCAGCGGAGAGUCUGCUUCUCCCUCUCCCUCUACCUCUCUCUCCACUCAUGCUCUCUAUCUCUCUCCCUCUCAAAUAAAUAUAUAAAAUCUUUUUUAAAAAGAGAGAGA